GAGCCAAUCCCAAGUUUGGAUUCCGGGAGAAGCAAGAUCUAUUGGAUACAAGUGCUGGCGGCCUCGGCCAAUGGUGGGAGAGGGGCCGGAGCCCGGCGGCUGCGUGGGUUUUAAAUCCACGUGGUGGCUGCGGGGCUGGGCUCGGGGCUUCGGGGUUUAAAGGCUCAGGGUCCGCAGGGGCUGCAGCCCUGCAGUUGUGGCUCCGAAGCGCUUGUUCUUUUCUGGGAAAGGCGAUUCCUCCACCACCUCUUAGGAUCUUGGGCAAGUCACUCAGCUUCGCUGAGCCUGUUUGUAUCCGUAGGGUUUUGUGAGGCUCCAGCCCUUCAGCAGACAUUUCCUGGGCAUCUACUGUGUGCCCGGCAGGGCCUUCUUAGAUCAGGUAUAAGGCAGGAGGGAAGCGUCGGGAGUCCCAGGCCUGCUGCGUCUCUAACCAUGGGCAGGUGGCUCAGCAUUACCUCCCCUUCUUCCCCACUGCUCUUCCCCAUCCUGGCUUUUACUGUAUCUCCUCUAAAAGGGUGUGAGCUCCACGGGGUACCCAUGUGCCUUGAGGAAGGUCUGCCCCAGUUUGUAGUCAAUAUGUACUUUCUGAAUAAUUAUCGCAAAGACUAGUUCUCAGCAGAGAGCUUUACACAUAGGAGGUGUUUGAUAAAUGGCAAUUGUUCAUGCAAUAAAGAACAACAGCAGGCCAGGUGCAGUAGCUCACGCUUGUAGUCUUAGCACCUUAGCACUUUAGGAGUCUGAGGCAGGAUUAUUGCUUAAGCUCAGGAGUUUGAGACCCCUGGGCAACGGUAGUGGGACCUUAUCUCUUAAAAAAAAGAAAAAAAUGAAAGAAAGACAGGAAUAUAUCAGCCAGGUGUCUUGGUGCAUGCCAGUAGUCCCAGUCAAUUGGGAGGCUGAGGCAGGAGGAUGGCUUGAGCCCAGGAGUUUGAGGCUGCAGUGAGCUAUGAUUGUGCCACUGCACUCCAGCCUGGGCAACAGAACGAGACCCUGCCUCCAACAGCAACAACAGCAAAGAAGAACAGAUAGCACUGAUGAAAUGCCUAUUAAGUGUAAAGUGGUGUUCUGGGCAUUUCACAUGUAUUACAUGCAAUUUAAUAUUAACAAAAUUACAAGUCUUACAUAACUUAAUAUUCACAAAAAACAAAUUAGGCACCAUUAUUAUUCUUAUUUUGCAGAUGUGGAAACCAGGGCAAAGAGAGGCAAGGUAACUUUUCUAAGGUCAUGUGGCUAGGAGGUGGUGGGGCUUGAUUCAAAUCCAGGUCUGUCUACUCCCGGAGCCCUUGUUCUUAACCACUGCACUAUCCCAGUACUUGUCUAGUAUUCAGCGUUUCUUUUCCAAGAAUGUUCUAAGUUAGGCCUGUGCUAGUGGGAAGUGGAAGAGAAGGGGAGGAUAGGAAUCAGGUGGGUGAGGCAGAGCCAGGUGAGCUGGGGUCCUGCCCCCUAUGGCAAGGCCCAGCCCUAUGGGGUGGCAUUGGACAGGAAGAGGGGCAGUGAGACAGACAGGCAUUGGGGCCACAUGUCCCGUAAAUAGGCUACCUCCUUGCCAGGCCCUGUGCUGGGCUGGUGGGGCGCCGUGCUGGGCGUGACACACCCUCCCUGCCCUCAGGAGGCUGUCAGUCUAAACCAGCUACCAUUAGUGGUGACCUGAACACAGCCUGCAGGAGGGGUUUUGGUUUUGCCUGCAUGAUAUUUAAACAUUUUUAAAACAUGAAUUGCCUCGGUCCACACCCCUCCCUAGUGUCACACGUCAGCUUUACUCAUGUGUCCCACCGGCUCGUGAAUGCCCUGAGCAGCUUUGUUCCCUUGUCUCCCCAAGCCAGCAGCCCGCAGAGGGGGGGCCCUCUGUGGCUGGCACACAGCAAUUGCCCUGGCGUUCUUUGCUUUGCCUCCUGUCUGUGUUUGAAAUCCCGAAAUCACCACCUUGAGCUCUGAAGCCCUGCGACUCCGAGGCUGCAAACCCCUCCCUGGCCCCAGACGUGCAGCCUGCAGCUUGAAUCUGAGGACUCUGGCGGUGGAGGCCAACUCCGAAACGGUCCCUCAGUAACCAAGGAUCAUGCUAAACAUCAUGGUGUUCUAUUCAAGAUCUGCUACAUCAUUUGUGGAGCCCAGUGCAAACUAAAAAUGCCAGACUCCAUGUUCAAACAAUCAGCAAGAACUUCAGGAUGGUGACAGGAGAGCUCUGAGCCUCUUCUGAGGGCAGAGCCCCACGUGGCUGCACGUUACAUCCCUUGAAGCUGUCCCUGUUCUCACUGGGGGUCCAUGGUCUGGCAGCAUCCUCCAGUACCACAAGACAGGGUCUUUCCACAGCUGAGCAGGGCAAGGACAGUUUCUAGCUGGACCCAGGGGAGGCCACCUGCAGGUGUGGCCUCUAUGUCUGCAGUUCACGGUGGGAAUCUGGCUCACAGGACCCAGCCUGCCACCGUCCAGGGAGCCGCGGAGAUUUGGGGAUUUCUCCUCUGCAAAAUGGGGAAACAGCUCCCUCUUCAUCAGGUUCUGGUGAGGCUGACCUAAGGAGGCUGAGUGCCAAGACCUGAAUUUGCUGCUCCUCACUGACCACUGGCGAGGGCUUUGCAGCCUGUGGCCUUCACCCUCAGCCCCUGGGUGCCCCUUCCCCUUGGAGACACUUGCAAAUCUGACAAGCAUGGGUUCUGUGACUUCAUCUGAGUGACUGAUGAGCACCCAGAAGAGGACAGACCCCACUGCAGAGAAAGCCGGGGCUUCCUCUUAGACAAGCCCCUCCCAGUCGUCGCAUCUUUCACUCAUGUCCUCUCCCAACAAAAGCGUGGAACAGAAAGGUUGCAGCCUCCUGCCUGAAUGAUUAAAAUAUGAAAAAAAUACAUCUCAGAAACAACAAUAACAACCCCAGCCCUUAUGGCGUACUCGCUACAGGGAGGCGCUGUGCUGGGGGCUUUGUAACCGGAGUGGCUCCAUGUCAACUUCUCAGCAACCCUUGGAAGUUGGUGUUAUCACACCAUUUGACAGAACUGUGAGAGGAUCAACGCUGCUUGAAGCCACCAGUUUCUGGGAAUUUGUCACAGCAGCCCAGGAAACACAUGCGCAAGGUUUGGAGAUUGGUCUUUCCAUGUCUAGGGUGCAUGGUGCCCAUUUCAACACUCUCUGCCCUCAGUGGCACAUUUAGGCCACGCUGACUUCGGCAAUGGUGAGGGAAAUGCAAAGGUGAGCCAAAAAUACCUGGUCGCUAUCUCUGGGGGGACGUAAAACAAUAGCAGCUCAUUCUCUCAAAGUCCAGGAGGCCAGAAGUCUGGAAUCACGAUGACAGCGGGGCCAGCCCCUCUAGGGGCUCCAGCGAGAAUCUGUCCAGUGUUUCUCUCCCGGCCUGGUGGCUGCUGGCUCCUUUGGCGAUGUGUGGCAUGUGGAUGCGUCACAGAGAUCGGCAGGCAGAUCUCUGCCUCUGUGCAUGGUCUUCCUCUCCGUGUGUGACUCUCUGCGUCUUCACUUUGGCUUCUCAUAGGGACAUCAGUCACUGGAUUUAGGGUACGCUCAAAUCCAGUAUGACCCAUCCCAACUCAAGACAUUUGAAAAGACCCUGUUUCCAAAUAUGGUCACAUCUGAGGUCCCAGGUGGAUAUGAAAUUUGGGGGACACUACGCAACCCAGCACCAUCCUUUUUUGUGGGAGUCACCCACUUUGGUUUCUGAAAUGGGGACACACGUUACGGUGGAAAUGAGCACUCGGGGCUGCCUGUCUCGGAAAGGUUGUUGAAUCAAUGGCACGUUGAUUGCUUCAACAAUCUAGGAAAUACUACGUAAGCUUUCUUUAAACAAUGCCGGUAUGGCCACAACACCCCCCAGAAUCCUACCAUUCAUUCAUUCACUCACUCAUUUACUCAUUCAUUCAUUCAUUCAGUGUUCAGUCCCUAUGAUUUGGUUAUGACCAAAGCAGACACAAUCACUGACCUCAAGGAGCAUGUGUUCUGGUGUAAGAACUGACGCUGAGGUACCCCUGACUCUUUGCUUAUUCCUCUGACAGCAAAAGUUGUCAGGAAAACAGACAGAAACAAAACAUGCCCACUCUGGACCGAAUUGUAAAUCUUUAUCCCUUUCUCCUCACCUAAAGCCCAACAAAGCAAUUUGAAAUUCCAGACCUGCGACCACUGGAGAAGAUCACCUUUCCCCAAUGAGAAGCAGAUCAACAUUGGCUCAGGCUGAAUCUGGGAGACAGACAAGGUCUCCUUUCAACAUCGUGCCUCCAGGGAAACCAGGCCAAGUAUCGGCCCUCCAGAGGCAGCUGCAACUCUUGGAGACCUCCCCACUGAGUCCAUACCCCUGGCCCAGGGCACUCAGGCUGCUUGACCAGCCCUGCCCCCUGGCCAGCCUCAUUUCUCCUGUUCUCUUGCUCGGUGCCCCUAGCAGCAGUCUUGCACCUGGUCCACUGCCUCCCACGCCAGGGCCUUUGCCUUUGCUCUUCCCCUGCCUGGCAUGGUCUCAUCAUUCAGGGCUCAGCCUGAAUGUCACCUCCUCCUGGAAGCCUUCCCCUGGUCUCAUUAUGUCCUACCCUAUCACCCUGUUUCUUUCCCUUGGGUCACCAGUAAGAACCUGGAUUGAGUGUGUGCAGCUGUCUUUUGUUGUCUUUGCCUCACUAAACUGUAAACCCUUUGACAAUA